CCUGAGUCCACCUUCCACUCAGAACAAAGAAGCAGACCAAAGACCCAAACAAGCUUCAUUGGACUUCAGAGCCCGAAGGGAGAAGUCUAGAGUGAAACUCAGCCCCUGAAUCUUCAUUCCUCCCGUGUGGAGAAGGUAGAAUGAUCUGGAAGCCGGUGACUUCAUACAUUAAGAAUGUCCUCCCCGGCUGGCUCUUUUGCUCUGUCUGUGUAAUCGGUACCUAGACAACAUUUUCAAAAGCACCCUGCCCCCAGCUGACGUACAACCAGAGGGCAUAUGACCGAGGAACAGUUUCCUUCUCCAGCUCUGGGUGGUCCUGAUGCCAGACUUGUCUUCUCUAGCCCAUGGAGAGAAGCCAUCGAACAGAAAGCUGUUGGGAGAUCUAGGAGUCGGCUCCCUCUGCUGCAGGUGAUAUGUGAUCGAGGUAAGGCUUCGAGAAAUACAAUCUCAGUCACUUCCUUGAAGCCAAAACUAACAAGAUCGAGCAUGGUGGGCACCGACUCCAGGGAGACAAGGGAGAGAUCAAGAUGCAGCGUGACUCAACCGGUAUCCCCUCACGAUGUAAAAACAGUGUAAUCACAUAUCGUCGCGUGUGCUUCAGCUAUGGAUUCUUGCUAGAUAGACUCCAUCUCCAGUUCAUCUCCCUGCCUACAGAUGCUCACCCAGUCUCUAAUGUGUGGAUGGAGACGGCGCAGACAGCGUUACUGCACCUCUGGAGCGCAAAAUGAGUUCUUUUCCAGAAUUCGCCAUGUGACUGAAAUUUUGUGACGCGCAGUGCAGCCUAUUUUGACCGGCUUUCAUUUUUACCCCCACCUCCUGUUCUCAACUUGAUCGGCAAGCAUCAGAGAUUUUCUUGAUCUUACCCAGGAGCAAGCAUCACAGGGUAUGGUCCCUAGAAGUUUGUAGCAACACGGUGUGACCAGACAUGGCCGAGAGGGGAUGCCUCUCCAGUCUUUCCUCCCAGAUUAGCAGAAUGAAGUGGGCAUGUGGCAGCCUGGAGUCAGAUGGCAGCGGACACGUGACCGACUGAUGUCAGAACCCACCCAUCACCUGCCUGAAAUGGUCAUCCCUGAGACAGCCCCAAAGGGCCAUACCAUGACAAUAUCCCCGUACUGGGCAGCCUGAUUCCAACCUGAGGUACUUCCUGUUGCCUUUGAGACCAGAUAAACCAUCCCUGAGCUGCCCUGAGACUCCAUUUUCCACGAACUUUAGCCUGAAGUUAGUAAGACCACUUACCUCUCCCCGACCCACACCCUCUCCUCUCUCCACUUUAGCCCACCCCACCCUCACAUAUACAGCCGGACGUCAGAGGGCCCCAUUCUCUGCAAUUCCAACCAAGAAGACAUGCCCUGUGCCAGCUGAGCUGUUAUUUCGUUCUGCCGUUUUCUAGUUUAUCCCUCCUAAAGGACUCUGGGGACAUCCUCAUCCCUACCUUACAAUCCUGUAAUUACGGUCACAGUGACAGCAAAAGUCUACUCUGCUCAAGAGGCUUUCGUCAAGGGAGCUCCUUGGAGGCCAGGGGUAUGUUGAGGGCCUCGGCGGUGUGUGAACAUUGACAAUUAUUUAAGGGAAAUGCUUGCAGAGUACGGGGCAGGUGGCAAAUGGCAUCUCUUAAAUACAUAGAUUUGGUAAUUCAGAGUCUCUAUAUCUUAGUUUGGGUUUCCAGUGCUGCGAUGAAGACCAGGAUCAAAAGCAACCUGGGAGGAAAGGGUGUAUCUCAUCUCACAGUUCCAGGUCACAGUCCACCAUGGCGGGGGGGGGGGGGGGAGGGUCAGGGCAGGAACCCGGAGGCAGGAACCUGGGGGCAGGAACUGAAACAGGAAGGAGGAACACUGCUUAUAGGCCUGCUCCCCGUGGUUUGGUCAUCCUGCUUUCUCAUAUAACCCAGGACCACCUACCCUGGGGUAAGAGACCUCCCACAGUGGGCAGGGCCCUCUCACAUCAAUCAUUAAUUGAGAACGUUAGUGUGUCUGCUAACCAUAUUUCUUCUUAUUGCAACAAUAAGAGUUGGAUUUGGGCUGUGGAGAGAUGGCUCAGCAGUUGAGCACUGGCUGCUUUUGCAGGGGACCCAGGUUCUGUCCCCAACACCCACAUGGCAGGUCACAAUCAUGUAAAUGUCUAGUUCAAGAGGAAUCAAUGCCCUCUCCUGGCUAUCAGGGGCACCACACACACACACACACACAGGGUACAUGCAUACAGGCAAAACACCCACAUACGUAAAACCAAAGUAAAUAAAAUCUUAAAAAAAAAAAGGAUUGGAAAAUUAAAAACCACUGUUGAUUUGAUUUUCAGCAGACGGGAGGAUUGAAAACACAAAGACAAUAUCGUGGGGACCAAGAACGCACUCCGGGCUCUUGACAUUUGAAUGGGGCACUUAUUUUAAAAGUCUUCGCCUUUGUGUCACGAAUCCAAUUGCUGUGUCUUCUAUCCUUUCUCUUCUACCUCUUGGUGCUGCUUAAUGUACAGAAAUAGGAGACUAAGCUGCCCUCAGGACCUGGGGUGUUACCACUCCACUGCUUAGAGAGGUCUCAAUCACAGGCGGCCAGGACCCAGCCCUCACCUAGUGAUGAGCUCCUGACUGCAGGUCCCUUCCUUCAACCACACCAAUGGUAAGUAAGCAUGCUCAUUAGACUUAAUCUAUUGGUUCCAUCCAGGUAUGCUGGCCACUAAUGCUGGAUAGCCAUGGGAACAACACUGUUCAUGAGGAAGCCAAGAUGUCUACUGUAGUAACUUGAAAUGCAAAAAACAGGAAGUAUCAGUCCCUCUUUAAAGGGGGGUUUGGUACUUUUUGGGCUCUUCAGAGGCUGAGACAGAUUCUACAAUUCAUCAGGCACUCCACGGUUUGGCACAGUUUGCCAUGAAGGUCCCCCCAGUAUCUGAGGGACUAGGAGAAAAACCCAGGUUUCACAUAGCAACAGAACAGUGUGUGGCAUCAAUGAAUUCUUUGACUUCCUUGAUCCUCUUUUGUCUGGGAUACGGGAGUUUCAGAUGAAUUCCUCGGGUGGAAUAUCACAAAGACCUCUUGGAGUACACAGAAGGCAUCUCUCCCUCACCAAGUACAAAGAACAAAGAACCUGGUCCACGCACGCUGAUGUUACUGGAGAGGGUAGCACCGAGAUCUCGGUCAGACAACAGAGCGGACACGUCUCACAGGAGGCUAGAGAAGGUCUGGAGUGUGGAACCCUGCAGGGAUGUAGACUGCGGUUUGGAAGUAACCAGAACUGCCUAAGGCUGGUUCAUGAGGUUCAGUGGGACAGAGGGAGAAGC